CUGAGGAAACACAAAGUGAAGGAACCUGUGACAGUAGGUGACACCCUAUAAACAGGGGAUAAUCACUUAUUCCUGUCCAAAAUUACCCUAGAUUAUAUUUUUCAAAAAUUCCUUGGGUUUGGCGUACUCUUUGCUUUUGGGAAAACCAACCAUCUGAAUGUCAUUCUAGUGACAUGCUCUUGCUGAAACCUGUGCUUCCAGACCACGCAUCUUCUCCUCCAAUGUGCCCAGCAGUUUGCCCUUUAUAUACAUGAAAUAUCUUCUGGCAGAAAGGAGAACAUAGCACAUCCAAGCUAGAGUCACAGGAACAGAGGAAUUGUUAUUGCAAAGCCAUGUCCUGUCUUUGAUAGUGGUCAGUUCCAGAUGCUUUCUGAGGACAGUGCAACAAACACAAUAAAGGACAAUUAUGGAAUGAUACACCCACUCAGAAUUUCCACCCUGAUGCCAAUCUCUUGACUUUGCCUCGGAAAAUUUUAUGUCAGAGCGGCCAUGAACAGGGCACCUGCCUGAGCUACCAUCACUUUCUUGAAUGGCCUUGACUGACAGACCAAACACAGAAGAUCUAUAAUGUGUUUAGAGCAAGGUAAGAUGGACACAGUCCGGCAAAGAAGUACUGUAUCUGGGGAGGGAGAAGAGAAGGACUCAGGC